GAGGGUAAGAUCAAAAUCGCGCUGGACGUUGCAUCAUCGGAGUUCUACAAGGACGGCAAGUACGACCUUGACUUCAAGAACCCGAACUCGGACCCAACGAAAUGGAUCUCGGGCGUUGAGCUUGCGGACCUCUACCUCGGCUACAUCAAGAAGUACCCGAUCGUGUCGAUCGAGGACCCCUUCGACCAGGACGACUGGGAGGCGUGG
rnacentral:misc_RNA from 1 species